rnacentral:rRNA from 1 species
AUUGAACGCUGGCGGCAGGCUUAACACAUGCAAGUCGAGCGGGGAAGGUUGCUUCGGUAACUGACCCAGCGGCGGACGGGUGAGUAAUGCUUAGGAAUCUGCCUAUUAGUGGGGGACAACAUUCCGAAAGGGGUGCUAAUACCGCAUACGUCCUACGGGAGAAAGCAGGGGAUCAUUUGACCUUGCGCUAAUAGAUGAGCCUAAGGCGGAUUAGCUAGUUGGUGGGGUAAAGGCCUACCAAGGCGACGAUCUGUAGCGGGUCUGAGAGGAUGAUCCGCCACACUGGGACUGAGACACGGCCCAGACUCCUACGGGAGGCAGCAGUGGGGAAUAUUGGACAAUGGGGGGAACCCUGAUCCAGCCAUGCCGCGUGUGUGAAGAAGGCCUUUUGGUUGUAAAGCACUCUAAGCGAGGAGGAGGCUCUCUUGGUUAAUACCUGAGAAGAGUGGACGUUACUCGCAGAAUAAGCACCGGCUAACUCUGUGCCAGCAGCCGCUGUAA